GGUGGUACCACUGACUAUAAUUAAAGGUCGUGUGGCAUUUCGAAAUCCUCAAAUUCAUUGUCUAAGAGCUAUAAAAAAAUAUUUGAAGCGAUUCUCCCCGUUAGUACCAAUAAAAAAUGUCGAGUCAGGAUUAGUUCUCCACAUGUUAUAGAAAUAACUAGUCAAUUUAGCAUAACUCUUUUCGAUUUAAACAAUCAAAUUUUUCGAUGUACAAUCGUUUAGCCUUCCAAGCCUUCUGGUGGUUCAUGACCAUCCUACACUCCCGAUGGAUGUCGUUGAUGAUGUCUGUAAAUCGUCUGUGUAUCCCAAAACUUAUGUGCAUUAUAUGUCGACCAAUAAAUUAUAAUCGAGCUGCCUGUGAUAAUUUUGACGAAUACACACUUCACAAGUAUGUUAUUAUAUAUACUUGCAAACUACAAAGAACUCAUUCAUGUCUAUCUUUGUCACUCUCAACCGCUAAUUGCAAUUGUUGUCCACACAAAUAAUUUUGUAAAUAGAUUUGUUUGAUUUCUUUACUUCAAACUCAAAGUUAUAUUUCAUUGUAAUCCAGUGCACAAUUUCUAGCAAAUCUCUCUUCGUGUCAAACUGUUGAUUGAUAUGCAAAUCUUCAUCAUCGAGAACCACAUACAAACGAUUAGAAGAAUGUGUACUCGACUUGACUUAUGAACUCCAACCCCACUCAUGUCUCGAUUGGAUAAAGUAAUCAAAUCCUGAUUUGUAAAUUGUAUUUCUUUCUCGUUGUCUUGAAUCACCUUGUGAAUUCUGUGUGCAACAGUGAGAUCAUAUUGAGUAGCAACUGUCUCGAGUAUCAAUGCCAAUGAAUGCAAUGGAUCUGAUUUACAUGAUGGAAAACAUAUACAUUCGGAUGAGUCAAUAUCUCAACUUCGUGCCUAAAAUCUAGGUGAAAUUCACAUGCAAUCCAUGGACUCACAAUUUAAGCCCCG
rnacentral:lncRNA from 1 species